rnacentral:rRNA from 1 species
CAGUCGAGCGAGUCUGCCUUGAGAUCGGAGUGCUUGCACUCUGUGAAACAAGAUACAGGCUAGCGGCGGACGGGUGAGUAACACGUGGGUAACCUGCCCAAGAGAUCGGGAUAACACCUGGAAACAGAUGCUAAUACCGGAUAACAACAGAUGAUGCCUAUCAACUGUUUAAAAGAUGGUUCUGCUAUCGCUCUUGGAUGGACCUGCGGUGCAUUAGCUAGUUGGUAGGGUAACGGCCUACCAAGGCGAUGAUGCAUAGCCGAGUUGAGAGACUGAUCGGCCACAUUGGGACUGAGACACGGCCCAAACUCCUACGGGAGGCAGCAGUAGGGAAUCUUCCACAAUGGACGCAAGUCUGAUGGAGCAACGCCGCGUGAGUGAAGAAGGGUUUCGGCUCGUAAAGCUCUGUUGUUGGUGAAGAAGGACAGGGGUAGUAACUGACCUUUGUUUGACGGUAAUCAAUUAGAAAGUCACGGCUAACUACGUGCCAGCAGCCGCGGUAAUACGUAGGUGGCAAGCGUUGUCCGGAUUUAUUGGGCGUAAAGCGAGUGCAGGCGGCUCGAUAAGUCUGAUGUGAAAGCCUUCGGCUCAACCGGAGAAUUGCAUCAGAAACUGUCGAGCUUGAGUACAGAAGAGGAGAGUGGAACUCCAUGUGUAGCGGUGAAAUGCGUAGAUAUAUGGAAGAACACCGGUGGCGAAGGCGGCUCUCUGGUCNNNNACUGACGC